rnacentral:rRNA from 1 species
GAUGAACGCUAGCGGGAGGCUUAACACAUGCAAGUCGAGGGGCAGCAUAGGGUAGCAAUACUCUGAUGGCGACCGGCAAACGGGUGAGUAACGCGUAUGCAACCUACCCUGUACAGGGGGAUAGCCCGGAGAAAUUCGGACUAAUAUCCCGUAAUAAUAUCCGGAGGCAUCUUUGGAUAUUUAAAGUUCCGACGGUACGGGAUGGGCAUGCGUAACAUUAACUGGUUGGUAAGGUAACGGCUUACCAAGGCUAUGAUGUUUAGGGGUCCUGAGAGGGUGGUCCCCCACACUGGUACUGAGACACGGACCAGACUCCUACGGGAGGCAGCAGUGAGGAAUAUUGGUCAAUGGGCGCAAGCCUGAACCAGCCAUCCCGCGUGCAGGAAGACGGCCCUAUGGGUUGUAAACUGCUUUUCCAGGGAGAGAAACUUACGCACGUGUUGCGUGACUGACGGUACCCUGGGAAUAAGCAUCGGCUAACUCCGUG